ACAAGUUUGUUUAGCAAAAUCAAUUAUUGUUAAAAUUUAAACGAUUGUUGUGUUUUAGCAAAAGGUCUCGAAAGAAAACACUUCGUCAGCCUAGUGGGUUCGAAGUGAGGUCAAGGCAGUCACACCAGAGGAGGCAUAUACUUAUCAAUCAAUAUUUUGGUUUUCUCAAUAUAUGUAUGUACCUAAAAGCAGUGGUUAAAUUCUCAAAUCAAAGUUGCGACAGCCAGCAUUAAAGCAUGCAAAACACAAAUACCUUAAAUAUGAUAGUUAGGCAAAAAUUGAUUAUAUGCAUGUGUCGGUGUUAGUGUCGGUGUCUACGAGUUGUUGUUACCAAAUCAAAGGUAAAUAGAAAAUUCAAAUAUAUGUAUACAAAAGGAGAUACUAAACUGCAUGCAUUUGGUUCGAUGGUAUUGAAAACAAAAGGCAACUGUUUUAAAAAUGAAUCAACUACCAGCUGCUGUACGAGUAGUAAGUAUGUAAAUGUCGCUGAGAGUGCGGGCGAAGAACGAAUCGAGAGUGGCUAAAUUAAACCGCACGUUGAAACGCGUUAAGCUUACUUAAGUGAUUUAAAGCUAACGGAACUGGGAUGAACGCAUAAAUGAAACUGAGUCUCAAAGUAAACGUUUUUGUUUUUUUUUUGUGUUUUUUUUUUUUAAAUAAAUCGGUGCAGCGGUAUUAAGUCGUUCUAUGCAUGUAUUUACAAAAA